rnacentral:rRNA from 1 species
UACGAAGGGGGCUAGCGUUGUUCGGAAUUACUGGGCGUAAAGCGCGCGUAGGCGGUGAUCUUUGUCAGAGGUGAAAGCCUGGGGCUCAACUCCAGAAUUGCCUUUGAAACGGGAUCGCUUGAGUCCGAGAGAGGAUGGCGGAAUUCCUAGUGUAGAGGUGAAAUUCGUAGAUAUUAGGAAGAACACCGGUGGCGAAGGCGGCCAUCUGGCUCGGUACUGACGCUCAGGCGCGAAAGCGUGGGUAGCAAACAGG